rnacentral:rRNA from 1 species
UUACCAGACUCCUACGGGAGGCAGCAGUGGGGAAUAUUGCACAAUGGGGGGAACCCUGAUGCAGCAAUGCCGCGUGGGUGAAGAAGCACUCCGGUGCGUAAAGCCCUGUCAGCAGGGAAGAAAAUGACAGUACCUGACCCAGAAGCCCCGGCUAACUACGUGCCAGCAGCCGCGGUAAUACGUAGGGGGCAAGCGUUAUCCGGAUUUACUGGGUGUAAAGGGAGCGUAGACGGCAGCACAAGUCUGAAGUGAAAUGCCGGGGCUUAACCCCGGAACUGCUUUGGAAACUGUGCAGCUAGAGUGCAGGAGAGGUAAGUGGAAUUCCUAGUGUAGCGGUGAAAUGCGUAGAUAUUAGGAGGAACACCAGUGGCGAAGGCGGCUUACUGGACUGUAACUGACGUUGAGGCUCGAAAGCGUGGGGAGCAAACAGGAUUAGAUACCCCAGUAC